UGUAAGCGUAUACCAAAGUUGCUGCAGUUAAAACGCUCGUAGUCGGAAUUUGGCAGUUCCGGAUGUGUGCACGUCGUGUGCGCACUUCGCGGGGAUUGCUUUUGUGGUCUUGCGUAGGAUGAGGCACUUUUAUUAGUGAACGUCCUCACGCAACCACUUUUUACUGUGAGAAAAUCAGAGUGCUCAAAGCAGGCAUUUGCCGUGAAUGUAUUAGCAUGGAAUAAUAGAAUAGGACUUGGUUCUAUUUUGUUGGUUUGUUGGGACUGAGUAAUGAUUAAGAGGGACAGUUGGGGGCAUUUGUAUUUCGGUGCUAGAGGUGAAAUUCUUAGAUUACCGAAAGACAAACUGCUGCGAAAGCGUCUGCCAAGGAUGUUUUCAUUGA
rnacentral:rRNA from 1 species